rnacentral:rRNA from 1 species
AUUGAACGCUGGCGGCAUGCCUAACACAUGCAAGUCGAACGGGGCAGCAAUGCCUAGUGGCGGACGGGUGAGGAAUACGUAGGAAUCUGCCCUUAAGUGGGGGAUAACCAGGGGAAACCCUGACUAAUACCGCAUGAUCUCUUCGGAGCAAAGAGGGGGAACGCGAGGCCUCUCGCUUCUGGAUGAGCCUACGUCUGAUUAGCUAGUUGGUGAGGUAAGAGCUCAACAAGGCGAUGAUCGGUAACUGGUAUGAGAGGACGACCAGUCACACUGGGACUGAGACACGGCCCAGACUCCUACGGGAGGCAGCAGUGGGGAAUAUUGGACAAUGGGGGCAACCCUGAUCCAGCGAUGCCGCGUGAGUGAAGAAGGCCUUCGGGUCGUAAAGCUCUUUAGGUUGGGAAGAAGAGUGAUGGAGGAAAUGCUAUCACUUUGACGGUACCGACAGAAUAAGCACCGGCAAACUCUGUGUCAGCAGCCGCGGUAAAAC